rnacentral:rRNA from 1 species
CACAUGCAAGUCGAACGGCAGCACGGGUGCUUGCACCUGGUGGCGAGUGGCGAACGGGUGAGUAAUGCGUCGGAACGUACCGAGUAAUGGGGGAUAACGCAGCGAAAGUUGUGCUAAUACCGCAUACGCCCUGAGGGGGAAAGCGGGGGACCGCAAGGCCUCACGUUAUUCGAGCGGCCGACGUCUGAUUAGCUAGUUGGUGGGGUAAAGGCCUACCAAGGCGACGAUCAGUAGCGGGUCUGAGAGGAUGAUCCGCCACACUGGGACUGAGACACGGCCCAGACUCCUACGGGAGGCAGCAGUGGGGAAUUUUGGACAAUGGGGGCAACCCUGAUCCAGCCAUUCCGCGUGAGUGAAGAAGGCCUUCGGGUUGUAAAGCUCUUUCAGCUGGAACGAAACGGUACGCGCUAACAUCGUGUGCUAAUGACGGUACCGGCAGAAGAAGCACCGGCUAACUACGUGCCAGCAGCCGCGGUAAUACGUAGGGUGCGAGCGUUAAUCGGAAUUACUGGGCGUAAAGCGUGCGCAGGCGGAUUGUUAAGCAAGACGUGAAAUCCCCGGGCUUAACCUGGGAAUGGCGUUUUGAACUGGCAGUCUAGAGUGCGUCAGAGGGGGGUGGAAUUCCACGUGUAGCAGUGAAAUGCGUAGAGAUGUGGAGGAA